rnacentral:misc_RNA from 1 species
AUGAUAUGAAAAUGAAAUGAAGACGGCUUGGUAUUUUAUUUUAUUUUGACGUUUUGAGCAUUAAUUGUAUUAGCAAGUUUUUGUUCGUAUCAUAGCAUCAUGAGAAACUUGAACACUUGUUUUUGCAUAACAUUGAUAAAAACGAGGUCUCGUAAACGCAAGUUUUUUAUCGAGUGUCACUUGACAUGAAUACAAAGUAGUCGAAUAAUUUUGAAAAAAAAGAAGAAUUGUUUUCAUGUGAAUUUUGUAUUACAUGUAACCGGUGAUUUACCUUUGGUUACUUUAUUGAGAACAGGCUGGGAAGAAAUUAGUGACUUUGUACAUACAAUGUUGUAAUAUGUUUAUUGAAAAUUAAUUGAAAUGUUUAAAUGUCACCAUGAGUCAUUGCUUGUAUUUGUUUGUAUUUAUUCAUUUAUUUGUUUGAUUUUUAGUGAAUUGAUUUUGUAAGUUUCUUUGAAAUAAAUUUUG